rnacentral:sRNA from 1 species
AUUUGGGGUGUGUGGGGGGCUAUUUUUGAUGAGGUGGUAGGGGAGGGCUUCUUUGAGGAGGUGAUAAGCAAAGACCAGAAAGAAGUGAGGGAGACAGCCAUAUGGACAUUUGGGAAAUUUGGCCUAGUCAGCCAAAAUAGCAGAUGCCGAAGCGCAGAGGCAGGGAGUAAGCUCAGCCAGCCUCUGCCUUGAGCUCAGCCUCAUGCGUAAGCUCCCCUCGCCAUACCUUUGGAAACUAUUGCUGUUUAGUUCUGGGGGGUCAUGGGCUUGGUCCCCAGAGGCCUGGGCCCACCCUGUCAACCCAGGCCUCAGUGUGCCGACCAACAUCAGAAAUGGCCCACUGGAGGCAGCCUGGUCCUGUGGGGCACAACCGUCCAACUCAGGGUGGGCAGUGCGGGAAGACAGCCUGGGGCAGAGGCUCAGCCCAGGCCAGGGGCCGGGAACAGGGCCCUGCUGAGUUCCGGUUUCCCUGCAGAGCUACACACGGAGCGCAGCCUUCAUCGUGACCCUGCACCCGCUGCAGAGCACCACGCCCGACUUCUGGCGGCUGGUCUACGAUUACGGGUGCACCUCCAUCGUCAUGCUCAACCAGCUGAACCAGUCCAACUCCGCCUGGCCCUGCCUGCAGUACUGGCCAGAGCCAGGCCGGCAGCAAUAUGGCCUCAUGGAGGUGGAGUUUAUGUCAGGCACAGCAGAUGAAGACUUAGUGGCUCGAGUCUUCCGGGUGCAGAACAUCUCUCGGUUGCAGGAGGGGCACCUGCUGGUGCGGCACUUCCAGUUCCUGCGCUGGUCUGCAUACCGGGACACGCCUGACUCCAAGAAGGCCUUCCUGCACUUGCUGGCUGAGGUGGACAAGUGGCAGGCCGAGAGUGGGGAUGGGCGCACCAUUGUGCACUGCCUAAACGGGGGAGGACGCAGCGGCACCUUCUGCGCCUGCGCCACGGUCCUGGAGAUGAUCCGCUGCCACAACUUGGUGGACGUUUUCUUUGCUGCCAAAACCCUCCGGAACUACAAACCCAACAUGGUGGAGACCAUGGAUCAGUACCACUUUUGCUACGAUGUGGCCCUGGAGUACUUGGAGGGGCUGGAGUCAAGAUAGCAGGGCCCUGGCCUGGGGCACCCACUGCACACUCAGGGCCAGACCCACCAUCCUGGACUGGCGAGGAAGAUCAGUGCCUCCUGCUCUGCCCAAACACACUCCCAUGGGGCAGGCACUGGAGUGGAUGCUGGGCUAUCUCGCUGCCCCUUCCAGUGGGCAGGGCCUUUCGUUUUGUCCCAUGGGCAGGUCGUGGGCCAAGGAGGAGCUUAGCAAGUCUGCAGCCCAGCCCCACCUCCAUAGGGUCCGGCAGGCCUGUGCUGAGAGGCCUGGUGCUGCCUGGCAGAGUGACAAGGGCUCAGGACGGCUGGCUCUGGGGGACUCAGGCCAAGCCCCUUGGCACCAUCCUGGCUUUUGGCAGGGAUGAGUGAGGCCCUGCAGAGAGCAUCCCAGGCCAAGGUUCCCACUCAGCCUGCCCCCUCUGCAUGUGGGUAGAGGGUGUACUGGGGCUUAGCAUCUAGUAUUCCAUCUGGCCCAGCCCCUGAGGGUCCUGGGGAAGCAGGACUCUGUUCUGAAUAGCCAGUGGGGCACACUGUCCUCCCCAGGGGA